rnacentral:rRNA from 1 species
UACGAGGGGGGCGAGCGUUGUUCGGAAUUAUUGGGCGUAAAGGGUGCGUAGGCGGUUUGUACAGUCAGACGUGAAAUUCCUGGGCUCAACCUGGGGGCUGCGUUUGAUACGUGCAGACUUGAGUUCGGAAGAGGGUCGUGGAAUUCCCAGUGUAGAGGUGAAAUUCGUAGAUAUUGGGAAGAACACCGGUGGCGAAGGCGGCGACCUGGUCCGAUACUGGACGCUGAGGCGCGAAAGCGUGGGGAGCGAACAGG